rnacentral:rRNA from 1 species
GAUGAACGCUGGCGGCGUGCUUAACACAUGCAAGUCGAACGAAGCAUUUAAGACAGAUUACUUCGGUUUGAAGUCUUUUAUGACUGAGUGGCGGAUGGGUGAGUAACGCGUGGGUAACCUGCCUCAUACAGGGGGAUAGCAGCUGGAAACGGCUGGUAAUACCGCAUAAGCGCACGGUAUCACAUGAUACAGUGUGAAAAACUCCGGUGGUAUGAGAUGGACCCGCGUCUGAUUAGCUAGUUGGUGAGGUAACGGCCCACCAAGGCGACGAUCAGUAGCCGACCUGAGAGGGUGACCGGCACAUUGGGACUGAGACACGGCCCAGACUCCUAACGGGAGGCAGCAGUGGGGAAUAUUCGUCAAUGGGGGAAACCCUGAACGAGCAAUGCCGCGUGAACGAUGAAGGCCCUAU